rnacentral:misc_RNA from 1 species
GAUGAAGAACGCAGCGAAAUGCGGUAAGUAGUGUGAAUUGCAGAAUUACCUGAAUCAUCGAAUCUUUGAACGCACAUUGCGCCCCCUGGUAUUCCUGGGGGCAUGCCUGUUCGAGCGUCAUUAACAACCAAUCGGGCGGGGCUUUUGCAUGCUCCCGCUCGGCCAUGGGGGAUGGACGUCGUCGGACGCCCACCCCCGAAAUGCAACGGCGGACGGCCACCCGUGGCACUGCGGCGUAGUAAGUUAACCCUUCGCGCGCGCCCACGGAGUGGACUGCCCGGCCGCUUGAACCCCCACACAUCCUACGGUUGACCUCGGAUCAGGUAGGGAUACCCGCUGAACUUAAGCAUAUCAAUAAGCGGAGGA